AGGGUUUGAUCAUGGCUCAGGACGAACGCUGGCGGCGUGCUUAACACAUGCAAGUCGAGCGAUGAAGCACCUUCGGGUGUGAAUUAGCGGCGAACGGGUGAGGAACACGUGAAGAAUCUGCCUUCAACUCUGGGAUAACUCCGGGAAACCGGGGCUAAUACCGGAUAUGAGCCUUGAUCGCAUGAUCGGGGCUGGAAAGUUUUUCGGUUGAAGAUGACUUCGCGGCCUAUCAGCUUGUUGGUGAGGUAAUGGCUCACCAAGGCGACGACGGGUAGCCGGCCUGAGAGGGCGACCGGCCACACUGGGACUGAGACACGGCCCAGACUCCUACGGGAGGCAGCAGUGGGGAAUAUUGGGCAAUGGAGGAAACUCUGACCCAGCGACGCCGCGUGAGGGAUGAAGGCCUUCGGGAUGUAAACCUCUUUCAGUAGGGAAGAAGCGAAAGUGACGGUACCUACAGAAGAAGCACCGGCUAACUAUGUGCCAGCCGCCGCGGUAAUUCA
rnacentral:rRNA from 1 species